UUGGGUGGCGGACGGGUGAGUAACGCGUAAAGAACUUGCCUCACAGCUAGGGACAACAUUUGGAAACGAAUGCUAAUACCUAAUAUUAUGAUAAUAGGGCAUCCUAUAAUUAUGAAAGCUAUAAGCGCUGUGAGAGAGCUUUGCGUCCCAUUAGCUAGUUGGAGAGGUAACGGCUCACCAAGGCGAUGAUGGGUAGCCGGCCUGAGAGGGUGAUCGGCCACAAGGGGACUGAGACACGGCCCUUACUCCUACGGGAGGCAGCAGUGGGGAAUAUUGGACAAUGGACCAAGAGUCUGAUCCAGCAAUUCUGUGUGCACGAUGAAGUUUUUCGGAAUGUAAAGUGCUUUCAGUUGGGAAGAAAGAAAUGACGGUACCAACAGAAGAAGUGACGGCUAAAUACGUGCCAGCAGCCGCGGUAAUACGUAUGUCACGAGCGUUAUCCGGAUUUAUUGGGCGUAAAGCGCGUCUAGGUGGUUAUGUAAGUCUGAUGUGAAAAUGCAGGGCUCAACUCUGUAUUGCGUUGGAAACUGUAUAACUAGAGUACUGGAGAGGUAAGCGGAACUACAAGUGUAGAGGUGAAAUUCGUAGAUAUUUGUAGGAAUGCCGAUGGGGAAGCCAGCUUACUGGACAGAUACUGACGCUGAAGCGCGAAAGCGUGGGUAGCAAACAGGAUUAGAUACCCUGGUAGUCCACGCCGUAAACGAUGAUUACUAGGUGUUGGGGGUCGAACCUCAGCGCCC
rnacentral:ncRNA from 1 species